CGUCUGAGCUGCUCUGCCGACCCUCCGGCCCGGCAAUGGGGAGGGUGUGGACCCGGCACCGGGGCCAGGGAGGAGCUGGCAGCGUCACACCCUCUGGAAUGCUGCGGCUGCGAGUAACUCGCUCCAGAUUCGCGCAUUCCCGUCAGAACACGAAACCAGAGGAAAAACCCGUGAGGCCCAGAUUGAUCAGCACAGAACUUAGCAACAGCACAACAGGCUGUGGCCAGCCGCCCUGGCCCGCUAGAGGGGCUUUCCGCCAGGCCCGGGGUUGGGGGACUGGGAGCUGGCUCCACCACCCCUGACAGGCUUGCAGGGCCCAAAGGCCCCCCACCACGGGCGUCAGGGUGGAGGCGCUGGAGCUCCUGCUGGAACCACAGGGCUCCCAGAGAUGGUCUGAAAUCCCGGCCUUCCCCACGCGCUCCCUUCUAUGGGGUCUGAGAGGAGAACGCUGACGGGCGUCCCCACGCGCAGCCGUGGUUCACUCUGCUGGUUGGGCAGCCAGGAGCUGACAAGGGCAUGGGGGACUUCUGAGUUUCAGAAACAUCCAGAUGGUCCGGCAUUUCUUGCAGCUGCCACCUGGCCUGGUUGAACCUGCUCGUGGCCUGGCCGCAGUGGCAGGGAGUUAGGGCUGACCCUUUCAGCUGGGGGCCUGGAGGAGCCGGUGAAGGGCCAGAGCCUGGGAUCGCAGCAGCCCCACAUCUGCGCGCCUGACUCACGGACUCUGACAUAGUGACGGUUUGUGCAGCUUGCUAAGGAGAGAGCACCCAGGCCUGUCCUCCAAGGGCCCCGUCUGAGGCCCCGUCUCAGAGGUGCGGCAGUAACAGGGUCCCUCUGGAGCCCCAGCCCCCAGGGGGGAGUCCCUGCCCCACCUACCAGUCUGUGGCCCGUGCACAGUUUCUCCUCCCUGAGUGUCACCGCUUCCUCGCCUGUGAGCUGGGAGGACUAAGUGACCAGCGUGGCUCGUUCCUGGCACCACAUACACUGCAGCCCUCAUUCUGGUUGUUCCCACAUCUUGGCUGUCGUGAAUAGUGCUACAGCAAACAUCAAACUAAAAAGCUUCCACCCAGCAAAGGAGACAAUCAACAGAGUGAAAAGGCAACUACAGAGUGGGAGAAGAUAUUUACCAACCAUGUGUCUGAUAAGGGGUAUAUAGCCAAAGUACAUAAGGAACUCCUACAACUCCACAGCAAAAAAUUGAAUAACUCAAUUGAAAAAUGGACUAAGGAGUUGAAUUUUUCCAAAGAAGACACACAAGUGGCCAACAGAGAAGCCAAGGAAGAAAGCAAACCACUCCUGAUUCACUGCCACCAUCUCCUCAUCAAGAUAAUCCCUGUUAACAUUUUGCCCCCCGGUACAUAGUUGUGUAUUCUUCGUUGUGGGUCCUUCCAGCCGUGGCAUGUGGGACGCUGCCUCAGCGUGGUUUGAUGAGCAGUGCCAUGUCCGCGCCCAGGACCCGAACCAACGAAACACUGGGCCGCCUGCAGCGGAGCGCGCGAACCCAACCACUCGGCCACGGGGCCAGGCCCUCUAGCUCUUUUUUUAAGUUAAUAACUCAUCAAUAUUCUCAUGCUAAAUUUGUUCCAACGAGGUUGAAUCCCAGGCCCCGUGCGGCGAUGAUGGAAAGAGGAGCUGCCACCCGAAGCUGGGAGGAGAUGACGGGCAGUCAGCCGGUGGGGGAGCGGAUGGCUCUGUUCAAACCCCGGCCAGCCUACCCACGGGCUUUCGACGCCACAGCAGCCGGUCAGCGCCGUCCUCUGCUACCGAGCCGCAGGCUGGUAGUGCCGGGAUUCUGCCACUUCCACCGAAAGAUGGCUGAGUUUACCACCCUCAGAGCUUGUCGCAAAUCCAGACCCAACUCCCUGCACCAGCUGGGCAACAAAUUGUCUCAAGUUGGUAUGGACAGAGUUGUGUCCCCCACCCUUCGAUUCAUGUGUUGAUGUCCCAAACCCCCCCGGUACCUGGGAGGCAAUUGAGGUUAAAUGAGGUCAUCAGGUGGGCCCUGAAAGGAAGAAGUAGGGCCACCAGAGCUCUCCCCCUCCGCACGUGCUCAGAGGAAAGGCCACGCAGGGACACAGCAAGAAGGCAGGAGGAGGGGCCACCAGACACCAGCCUUGAUGACACCCUGAUCUUGGACUUCCAGUGCCUCCAGAACCGUGAGGACAUACAUUUCUGCUGUCUAAGCCACCCCGUCUGUGACACUCUGUUAUGGUAGCCCCAGCAGACUAAUGCACAAGUGUGGGAGCGCCCCUAAUGGCCAGGGGUGCAGUUUUAGCAGCAUUACAUUCUUUGUAUUUGAGGGGCUUUUCCUUUCCAAUUUUUAAAAUUGUAAUAACACAUAUAACAUAAAAUUUACCCUCU
rnacentral:lncRNA from 1 species